rnacentral:rRNA from 1 species
AGCAGUAGCCGCGGUAAUACGAAGGGUGCAAGCGUUAAUCGGAAUUACUGGGCGUAAAGCGUGCGUAGGCGGUGAGUUAAGUCUGCUGUGAAAUCCCCGGGCUCAACCUGGGAAUGGCAGUGGAUACUGGCUCGCUAGAGUGUGUCAGAGGAUGGUGGAAUUCUCGGUGUAGCGGUGAAAUGCGUAGAGAUCGGGAGGAACAUCAGUGGCGAAGGCGGCCAUCUGGGACAACACUGACGCUGAGGCACGAAAGCGUGGGGAGCAAACAGGAUUAGAUACCCCGGUAGUCCCUGUCUCUUAUAC